rnacentral:rRNA from 1 species
GGGAAACAACCCAGACCGCCAGCUAAGGUCCCAAAGUCAUGGUUAAGUGGGAAACGAUGUGGGAAGGCCCAGACAGCCAGGAUGUUGGCUUAGAAGCAGCCAUCAUUUAAAGAAAGCGUAAUAGCUCACUGGUCGAGUCGGCCUGCGCGGAAGAUGUAACGGGGCUAAACCAUGCACCGAAGCUGCGGCAGCGACACUGUGUGUUGUUGGGUAGGGGAGCGUUCUGUAAGCCUGUGAAGGUGGCCUGUGAGGGUUGCUGGAGGUAUCAGAAGUGCGAAUGCUGACAUAAGUAACGAUAAAGCGGGUGAAAAGCCCGCUCGCCGGAAGACCAAGGGUUCCUGUCCAACGUUAAUCGGGGCAGGGUGAGUCGACCCCUAAGGCGAGGCCGAAAGGCGUAGUCGAUGGGAAACGGGUUAAUAUUCCCGUACUUGGUGUUACUGCGAAGGGGGGACGGAGAAGGCUAUGUUGGCCGGGCGACGGUUGUCCCGGUUUAAGCGUGUAGGUGUGUGUUCCAGGUAAAUCCGGUUCACUUUAACACUGAGGCGUGACGACGAGGCACUACGGUGCUGAAGCAACAAAUGCCCUGCUUCCAGGAAAAGCCUCUAAGCAUCAGGUAACAUCAAAUCGUACCCCAAACCGACACAGGUGGUCAGGUAGAGAAUACCAAGGCGCUUGAGAGAACUCGGGUGAAGGAACUAGGCAAAAUGGUGCCGUAACUUCGGGAGAAGGCACGCUGACACGUAGGUGAAGUGAUUUACUCAUGGAGCUGAAGUCAGUCGAAGAUACCAGCUGGCUGCAACUGUUUAUUAAAAACACAGCACUGUGCAAACACGAAAGUGGACGUAUACGGUGUGACGCCUGCCCGGUGCCGGAAGGUUAAUUGAUGGGGUCAGCGCAAGCGAAGCUCCUGAUCGAAGCCCCGGUAAACGGCGGCCGUAACUAUAACGGUCCUAAGGUAGCGAAAUUCCUUGUCGGGUAAGUUCCGACCUGCACGAAUGGCGUAAUGAUGGCCAGGCUGUCUCCACCCGAGACUCAGUGAAAUUGAACUCGCUGUGAAGAUGCAGUGUACCCGCGGCAAGACGGAAAGACCCCGUGAACCUUUACUAUAGCUUGACACUGAACAUUGAGCCUUGAUGUGUAG